rnacentral:rRNA from 1 species
UCUAGAGGCUUCGGCAAUGGGGGCAACCCUGACCGAGCGACGCCGCGUGCGGGAUGAAGGUCGUAAGAUUGUAAACCGCUGUCAGCAGGGAAGAAUGCCCGGAUGGCGAAUCCGGGAGUGACGGUACCUGCGAAGGAAGCCCCGGCUAACUCCGUGCCAGCAGCCGCGGUAAUACGGAGGGGGCAAACGUUGUUCGGAAUUACUGGGCGUAAAGGGUGCGUAGGCGGCUCGGUCAGUCUGAUGUGAAAGCCUCCCGCUCAACGGGAGAAAUGCAUUGGAAACUGCCGAGCUCGAGGAUGGGAGAGGCAGGUGGAAUUCCUGGUGUAGCGGUGGAAUGCGUAGAUAUCAGGAAGAACACUCGUGGCGAAGGCGGCCUGCUGGCCCAUUUCUGACGCUGAGGCACGAAAGCCAGGGGAGCAAACG